GACCAUUCCUCUCUGGGAAAUGGGGCAGGUAGUGGCCGCAGUGAGAAAGCUGGCCCGUCCUUCUGCCCCAGGGCCCAGAGUCUGUGACAGGA
ensembl:miRNA